GACGAACGCUGGCGGCGGGCUUAACACAUGCAAGUCGAACGGUGAAGCUCCAGCUUGCUGGAGUGGAUCAGUGGCGAACGGGUGAGUAACACGUGAGCAACCUGCCCCUGACUCUGGAAUAAGCGCUGGAAACGGCGUCUAAUACUGGAUACGAGAAGGGUCCGCAUGGGCACUUUCUGGAAAGUUUUUCGGUUGGGGAUGGGCUCGCGGCCUAUCAGCUUGUUGGUGAGGUAAUGGCUCACCAAGGCGACGACGGGUAGCCGGCCUGAGAGGGCGACCGGCCACACUGGGACUGAGACACGGCCCAGACUCCUACGGGAGGCAGCAGUGGGGAAUAUUGCACAAUGGGCGAAAGCCUGAUGCAGCGACGCCGCGUGAGGGAUGACGGCCUUCGGGUUGUAAACCUCUUUCAGCAGGGAAGAAGCGAAAGUGACGGUACCUGCAGAAGAAGCACCGGCUAACUACGUG
rnacentral:rRNA from 1 species